AGUCAAGCGAAUAAGCGCAUACGGGGGAUGCCUAGGCGAUAGGAGGCGAUGAAGGACGUGGAAAUCUGCGAAAAGCUUCGGGGAGUCGAUAAACAGACAUUGAUCCGGAGAUAUCCGAAUGGGGAAACCCGGCCACUUUUAGUGGUCAUCGUAUACUGAAUACAUAGGUAUACGAGGCGAACCCGGGGAACUGAAACAUCUAAGUACCCGGAGGAAAAGAAAUCAACCGAGAUUCCCUUAGUAGCGGCGAGCGAACGGGGAUUAGCCCAGUUACCAUCAAGUUUAAUGUUAUAGCAAAACGGUCUGGAAAGUCCGACGAUACAGGGUGAUAGUCCCGUAUGUGAAAUGGCAUUAAGUGGGGUAACGAAGAGUAGGACGGGACACGUGACAUCUUGUCUGAACAUGGGGGGACCAUCCUCCAAGGCUAAAUACUACCUAUCGACCGAUAGUGAACUAGUACCGUGAGGGAAAGGCGAAAAGUACCCCUGUGAGGGGAGUGAAAUAGAACCUGAAACCGUAUGCGUACAAGCAGUCAGAGCCCUUCGGGGUGAUGGCGUACCUUUUGUAUAAUGGGUCAGCGACUUACUUUCAGUGGCAAGGUUAACCGUAUAGGGUAGCCGUAGGGAAACCGAGUCUUAAAUGGGCGAAUUAGUCUCUGGGAGUAGACCCGAAACCGAGCGAUCUAGCCAUGGCCAGGUUGAAGGUGGGGUAAUACCCACUGGAGGACCGAACCGGGUAAUGUUGAAAAAUUAUCGGAUGAGCUGUGGCUAGGAGUGAAAGGCUAAUCAAGCUCGGAGAUAGCUGGUUCUCCCCGAAAGCUAUUUAGGUAGCGCCUCGUGUAUCACUCUUGGGGGUAGAGCACUGUUUCGGCUAGGGGGCCAUCCCGGCUUACCAACCCGAUGCAAACUCCGAAUACCAAGAAGUGCAAUCACGGGAGACACACAGCGGGUGAUAACGUCCGUUGUGGAGAGGGAAACAACCCAGACCGCCAGCUAAGGUCCCAAAAUAUAGCUCAGUGGGAAACGAUGUGGGAAGGCCCAGACAGCCAGGAGGUUGGCUUAGAAGCAGCCACCCUUUAAAGAAAGCGUAAUAGCUCACUGGUCGAGUCGGCCUGCGCGGAAGAUUUAACGGGGCUUAAGCUAUAUACCGAAGCUGCGGAUGCAAGCUUGCUUGCAUGGUAGGGGAGCGUUCUGUAAGCCUGUGAAGGUGAACCGGGAGGUUUGCUGGAGGUAUCAGAAGUGCGAAUGCUGACAUGAGUAACGAUAAAGCGGGUGAAAAGCCCGCUCGCCGAAAAUCCAAGGUUUCCUGCGCAACGUUAAUCGGCGUAGGGUGAGUCGGGUCCUAAGGCGAGGCCGAAAGGCGUAGUCGAUGGCAAUCAGGUUAAUAUUCCUGAACCGCUUUUUACUGCGAUGGGAGGACGGAGAAGGUUAGACUGGCCGGGUGUUGGAUGUCCCGGUUCAAGUAUGUAGGUAGGCUCUUUAGGCAAAUCCGGAGGGCUAUUACUGAGAUACGAUAACGAGGCCCUAUUGUUGGGUCGAGCAGUUGAUACCAUGCUUCCAGGAAAAGUCCCUAAGCUUCAGGUAAAAAGUGUCCGUACCCCAAACCAACACAGGUGGAUGAGGAGAGAAUCCUAAGGCGCUUGAGAGAACUCUGGUGAAGGAACUAGGCAAAAUGGUACCGUAACUUCGGGAGAAGGUACGCCUCUUUUAGGUGAAGCCCCUGCGGGUGGAGCCGAAGGAGGCCGCAGUGACCAGGUGGCUGCGACUGUUUACUAAAAACAUAGCACUCUGCAAACUCGUAAGAGGACGUAUAGGGUGUGACGCCUGCCCGGUGCCGGAAGGUUAAUUGAUGGGGUUAGUCUUCGGACGAAGCUCUUGAUCGAAGCCCCGGUAAACGGCGGCCGUAACUAUAACGGUCCUAAGGUAGCGAAAUUC
rnacentral:rRNA from 1 species